rnacentral:tRNA from 2 species
GCCCGGGUGGUGAAAUUGGUAGACACAAGGGACUUAAAAUCCCUCGCUUAUGGCGUAUCGGUUCAAGUCCGAUCCCGGGCA